UGCCAGCCGCCGCGGUAAUACGAGGGGGGCAAGCGUUAUUCGGAAUUACUGGGCGUAAGGCGCACGUAGGCGGACUGGAAAGUAUGGGGUGAAAUCCCAGGGCUCAACCCUGGAACUGCCUCAUAAACUAUCAGUCUAGAGUUCGAGAGAGGUGAGUGGAAUUCCGAGUGUAGAGGUGAAAUUCGUAGAUAUUCGGAGGAACACCAGUGGCGAAGGCGGCUCACUGGCUCGAUACUGACGCUGAGGUGCGAAAGCGUGGGGAGCAAACAGGAUUAGAUA
rnacentral:rRNA from 1 species